UACGGAGGAUGCGAGCGUUAUCCGGAUUUAUUGGGUUUAAAGGGUGCGUAGGCGGGCUUUUAAGUCAGCGGUAAAAUUCGGGGCUCAACCCCGUCCGGCCGUUGAAACUGGGGGCCUUGAGUGGGCGAGAAGAAGGCGGAAUGCGUGGUGUAGCGGUGAAAUGCAUAGAUAUCACGCAGAACCCCGAUUGCGAAGGCAGCCUUCCGGCGCCCUACUGACGCUGAGGCACGAAAGUGCGGGGAUCGAACAGG
rnacentral:rRNA from 1 species